CAGGACGAACGCUGGCGGCGCGCCUAACACAUGCAAGUCGAACGAGCGAGAGAGAGCUUUGCUUUCUCGAGCGAGUGGCGAACGGGUGAGUAACGCGUGAGGAACCUGCCUCAAAGAGGGGGACAACAGUUGGAAACGACUGCUAAUACCGCAUAAGCCCACGGCUCGGCAUCGAGCAGAGGGAAAAGGAGUGAUCCGCUUUGAGAUGGACCCGCGUCUGAUUAGCUUGUUGGUGAGGUAACGGCCCACCAAGGCGACGAUCAGUAGCCGGCCUGAGAGGGUGAACGGCCACAUUGGGACUGAGACACGGCCCAAACUCCUACGGGAGGCAGCAGUGGGGAAUAUUGCACAAUGGGGGAAACCCUGAUGCAGCGACGCCGCGUGAGUGAUGAAGUAUUUCGGUAUGUAAAACUCUAUCAGCAGGGAAGAUAAUGACGGUACCUGACUAAGAAGCACCGGCUAAAUACGUG
rnacentral:rRNA from 1 species